UUUUUUUGUUGUUUUUGCCUCGAUUUUGCCGUGUUCUUCGUUUAUUAACUAAUCCGGGUAAGUAUUUAACCUGUACAAGUAUGACCUGGUCUAGUUUAGCAAUUCUUGUUCCAAAUUGUAGAUGCCAUAGUCAUGAUCCUGUUAUAUUCUCCUGUGUGUUAUUGUAUUUUUGUGUGCUUAUGGGAUCCUCUGGUAAUCUUAUUCUGUAGGCAAGCAGGCUCACAUAUGUCAGAUGUUCUGCACUUUAUGACUGAUAUUUGUUGUUGCUUUUCAUUAGGAAAGCCUUGAUAUGUUUUCUCGUGAAGAGAAAAGUAAUUGAAGGAUUGAUGAACCUGACAGUCAUCAGGAGCUUGAAGUGUCAUCAGAAGAAAUUGAGGCUAAAGAAGAUGUUUAUGUUGAAGAUAAUCGGAAGCGUUAUGGCCUCCGAAAGAGGAAAACUGUGUGCCCUAUCAGGCUCCUUUUGAAAGACCAAGGAAGCGGACAUAAGAGGU